rnacentral:rRNA from 1 species
CCAGAGAACUUAGCAGAGAUGCUUUGGUGCCUUCGGGAACUCUGAGACAGGUGCUGCAUGGCUGUCGUCAGCUCGUGUUGUGAAAUGUUGGGUUAAGUCCCGCAAGAGCGCAACCCUUAUCCUUUGUUGCCAGCGGCUCGGCCGGGAACUCAAAGGAGACUGCCGGUGAUAAACCGGAGGAAGGUGGGGAUGACGUCAAGUCAUCAUGGCCCUUACGGCCAGGGCUACACACGUGCUACAAUGGCGCAUACAAAGAGAAGCGACCUCGCGAGAGCAAGCGGACCUCACAAAGUGCGUCGUAGUCCGGAUUGGAGUCUGCAACUCGACUCCAUGAAGUCGGAAUCGCUAGUAAUCGUAGAUCAGAAUGCUACGGUGAAUACGUUCCCGGGCCUUGUACACACCGCCCGUCACACCAUGGGAGUGGGUUGCAAAAGAAGUAGGUAGCUUAACCUUCGGGAGGGCGCUUACCACUUUGUGAUUCAUGACUGGGGUGAAGUCGUAACAAGGUAGGCGUAGCGAG